UGGCUCAGGAUGAACGCCGGCGGUGUGCCUAAUACAUGCAAGUCGAACGCGUUGGCCCAACUGAUUGAACGUGCUUGCACGGACUUGACGUUGGUUUACCAGCGAGUGGCGGACGGGUGAGUAACACGUAGGUAACCUGCCCCAAAGCGGGGGAUAACAUUUGGAAACAGAUGCUAAUACCGCAUAACAAUUUGAAUCGCAUGAUUCAAAUUUAAAAGAUGGCUUCGGCUAUCACUUUGGGAUGGACCUGCGGCGCAUUAGCUUGUUGGUAGGGUAACGGCCUACCAAGGCUGUGAUGCGUAGCCGAGUUGAGAGACUGAUCGGCCACAAUGGAACUGAGACACGGUCCAUACUCCUACGGGAGGCAGCAGUAGGGAAUCUUCCACAAUGGGCGCAAGCCUGAUGGAGCAACACCGCGUGAGUGAAGAAGGGUUUCGGCUCGUAAAGCUCUGUUGUUAGAGAAGAACGUGCGUGAGAGCAACUGUUCACGCAGUGACGGUAUCUAACCAGAAAGUCACGGCUAACUACGUGCCAGCAGCCGCGGUAAUACGUAGGUGGCAAGCGUUAUCCGGAUUUAUUGGGCGUAAAGCGAGCGCAGGCGGUUUGAUAAGUCUGAUGUGAAAGCCUUUGGCUUAACCAAAGAAGUGCAUCGGAAACUGUCAGACUUGAGUGCAGAA
rnacentral:rRNA from 2 species